rnacentral:rRNA from 1 species
UACGUAGGGUGCAAGCGUUGUCCGGAAUUAUUGGGCGUAAAGAGCUCGUAGGCGGUCUGUCACGUCGGACGUGAAAAUCCAGGGCUCAACCCUGGACCUGCGUUCGAUACGGGCAGACUAGAGUUCGGUAGGGGAGACUGGAAUUCCUGGUGUAGCGGCGAAAUGCGCAGAUAUCAGGAGGAACACCGGUGGCGAAGGCGGGUCUCUGGGCCGAAACUGACGCUGAGGAGCGAAAGCGUGGGGAGCAAACAGG